AUGCGGAAGGACUUCUCCUGCUUCCGCGACGGCGCCGUCACCACCCUCGCCGUCGCCGAGCCGGGCUCCUCCGCCGACCGCCUCGACCGCUCGCUCCAGGCCGCCACCGCCUGCGUCUACCGGGUCGCGCUGGCCUCGCGCAAGGACCUGCUCGUCACCGUCACCUGGACCCGCCGCUCCGUGGUCACCACCUCCGUCGCCGACGCCGCUGCCGCCGGGGCCACCGGGCUCUCCGUCGCCGUCGAGGAAGUGCAGGCAGAGGCCUCCACAAAGCCGACGCUCCCCCCGUCGUCCGCGGUCGCCACGCCGCGGAGGGCGGCGGUGAAGCCCGCGGCCGCGGCGACCGCGCAGCAGCGGGUCGUGCACCUGAUGCACAAGAGGCGCGGGACCCGGUCGUUCGUCACGGAGGGCGGCACGGCCGUGGCCGUCCACUGGGACACGUCGGAGGCCAAGUACGCGGCGGCCUCGCCGGAGCCCUGCGGCGGGGAGUACCACCUGGCCGUGGUGGCCGACGCGGAGCUCGCGCUGCUCCUCGGCAGCGGGGCCGCGCGGGAGGAGCUGUCCCGCCGCUUCGGCGCCGCCUCGCGCGCGGCCCUUGUCAGCCGGCGCGAGCAGCUCCGCGCGCCGUCCCCGUCGUCCGCGGAGGCGGCGUCGGUGGCGCACAGCACGCGGUGCCGGUUCCGGGACGGCGGGGCGGAGCACGAGGUGACGGUGCGCUGCCGCGGCGACCGGCGGGGCGCGUCGUCAAGGGGCGAGCACGCCGACGGGGAGGUGGCGGUGAGCGUGGACGGGAAGAGCAUAGUGGAGGCGCGGCGCGUGGGGUGGAACUUCCGCGGCAACCGCACGGCCGUGCUGGGCGACGGCGCGGUGGUGGAGGUGAUGUGGGACGUGCACGACUGGUGGUUCGCCGGGGGCGUCGGCGCGGCGCAGUUCAUGGUGAAGGCACGCGGGCCCGGGCCGGCGGACGGCGGGCGGGUGUGGAUGGACGAGGAGCUGGCCAGCAAGGGCCAGCCCCCCGCCGGCUUCUUCCUCCACAUGCAGUGCUACCGCCGGUGA
rnacentral:rRNA from 1 species